GUACUGAUGAAGAGUACUAAACUAGGACGAAACAGCUGUCCAGUAC
rfam:Trichobilharzia regenti genome assembly, scaffold: TRE_scaffold0002472